rnacentral:rRNA from 1 species
GAUGAACGCUGGCGGCGUGCCUAAUACAUGCAAGUCGAGCGAACAGACGAGGAGCUUGCUCCUCUGACGUUAGCGGCGGACGGGUGAGUAACACGUGGAUAACCUACCUAUAAGACUGGGAUAACUUCGGGAAACCGGAGCUAAUACCGGAUAAUAUAUUGAACCGCAUGGUUCAAUAGUGAAAGACGGUUUUGCUGUCACUUAUAGAUGGAUCCGCGCCGCAUUAGCUAGUUGGUAAGGUAACGGCUUACCAAGGCAACGAUGCGUAGCCGACCUGAGAGGAGGAACGGCCCAACUGGAACGAAACACCGUACCAGCCCCGAAGGGAGGGAAGGAAAGGGGAUGCUGCCGAAAAGGGGGAAAGCCUGGAGGAGCACCGCCGGGGGAGUGAAAAGGGUCUUCGAGUCGAAAAACUUUGUAAUAGGGGAAAAAAAAAUGUGAAAAAAACAUUGCCCUUCUUGACGGUCCUUAAGCAAAAAGCCACGGCAAACUACGG